rnacentral:rRNA from 1 species
GUGUCACACGGGAACGUAGCCGGUACGAUAAACCGGAGGAAGGUGGGGAUGACGUCAAGGUCAGCAUGGCCUUUUAUAUCCUGGGCUACACGACACGCUACAAUGGGAAGGGACAAUAGGUUGCGAAGCCGCGAGGCGGAGCCAAUCCAGCAAAACUUCCCUACAGUUCAGAUUGCAGGCUGCAACUCGCCUGCAUGAAGUUGGAGUUGCUAGUAAACGCAGGUCAGCCAUACUGCGUUGAAUACGUUCCCGGGGCUU